rnacentral:rRNA from 1 species
UACGUAGGGGCCGAGCGUUGUCCGGAGUUACUGGGCGUAAAGCGCGCGCAGGCGGCGCAUCGCGCCCGGCGUGAAAGCCCCCGGCUCAACCGGGGAGGGUCGUCGGGGACGGGUGCGCUUGAGGACGGCAGGGGCAGGGGGAAUUCCCGGUGUAGUGGUGAAAUGCGUAGAGAUCGGGAGGAACACCCGGGGCGAAGGCGGCCUGGUGGGCCGAUCCUGACGCUGAGGCGCGAAGGCGUGGGGAGCGAACGGG